rnacentral:lncRNA from 1 species
AAAAAUAUGUGUACAACAUUAAAAUCAUUAAAAACAUACAAAACAGAAUGGAUUUUCUUAACUUAAACAUAAGUGAAAAACGUUUAUAACCAAAUUUUACCAAUAUACAUGCAAGGUAUAGUACAUGUACAAGUAUUUACUCACCUGUGUUAAACUAUAAAUGCAAUUAGGAGCAAAAAUAAAAUGGCCGCAAAUGAAAAAUUGAAAUCAACGCAAAUGAAAGAAUGACAAUUUUAAAAAUCGGCGCAAAUGCCAUAACCUUGUGGCGCAAAUGAAAGAUAGGAUUUAAAAAAAAAUGGCGCAAAUGCAAUGCGCCCAUUCAUAAUAAAGCUUUGGAAAUGUGUAAUUAUAAUACUUGAAAAAUAAAGAAUUGUUAAAUUGUAACCAUGCAAAGGAUAUAUUUCUUGGCACCAUGAAGC